AACAUUCAUCUCUAGAUUUAGCAGGAGAGAAGAGACACCCUCUGGUGUGUUGGGAAGAUAAUCCAAUUCCAGCUCAGAGACACUCACAAAGGGCACACGAACGCUCUGGGACUUUGAAUAAAAUUCUCGGUAAGAGAGAGAUAAGCUCUCUAACAAAACUAUUCUUACAUUUCAGAGGACGAUGAUUGCUUUUCUAUGUCUUUGCUGAGCUGUCUCCUAGAAACUCAUCUGAGAAUUAAAUGCUAGCUGUAAAAUUCUGUACGAUUCAGAGAAAACAAACAGCCUGUAGAAAGGAGAUGAAUCUCUAUUAUGUUCUAGACAUUCAUGUGGUGAUAUCUUUGGGCUUCCAUUGUAUUUCCUACAAGAACCACAUUAUGUCACCUCCAUUAUAUUAUGCAGAGCUCUUUAACCCAGUUUAAAAAAAAACACACUGCUUCACGAGAUACUGCAGCCGCCCCCGUACCUCCGCUCUACCUUUCUUUCUUUUAAUUAGGAUAACAUGAACCAAUCUAGGAGAGGGGAAGCUAGGUCUGAAGGUCUGAAGAGGCGAGGGAGGUGCUGACAGCACCCGAAGGGGAGCAUCACUCUGCACUCCGGUGACAAACCCUCCCUGCUCUGCUGGCAGUGACCAGCCAAGCCCCGCGGCAUCCCCGGAGGCUGCACGGGGUCCGGUGGUGAAACACGGCUCUCACUCGCUCUCGGGGGAAGCGGGCAUCCUGCUGGGACACCGGCGAGAUUCCUGCCGCAGCCAAGUGAAGCAGCAGCGGAGACACGAGCAGAUGCAGUGAGGAAAUAUUGGAUUCUUGAGGUGAAGCAGCUGAAGUCCCCGUCUCUCAGCCACGUUAUCUGGAUGGCUUCGUCAGUGCUGCCACCACACCACUGUGCCCAGAGCGCGGCUGCCAGGCUGGAGAUGAGUCCUGUAGCUUCGUGGUGGAGGCUUGGCCUUGCAGACACAGAGACACGUUGAAGGGGAUUUACCAGAGGCCAACAUUUAUCUGUUUCAGAGCCCUGCCAAGGGCUUUCACUGAGACACAGUUUCACAAAGUUGAUCAUAUUUAAUAAAGUGACAGAACAGUUUCA